rnacentral:misc_RNA from 1 species
UUUCCGUAGGUGAACCUGCGGAAGGAUCAUUAAAGAGUAAGGGUGCUCAGCGCCCGACCUCCAACCCUUUGUGAACCAAACUUGUUGCUUCGGGGGCGACCCUGCCGCUUCGGCGGUGCGGCGCCCCCGGAGGCCAUUAAACACUGCAUCAUUGCGUCGGAGUUAAAGUAAAUUAAACAAAACUUUCAACAACGGAUCUCUUGGUUCCAGCAUCGAUGAAGAACGCAGC